UCACCCAAAUUGGGAAGAUUUCCUGUUAUUUAACCCUAGGAUGCAUGACCAACUGACUUGGUUCUCUUACGUUCUGGGGUCUUUUUUGACCCCAAUUCAUUUCCUAUGGAAACUGAUCCAACAGGGUUGUUAGGGUUGCAAUAUCUUUGUCCUGGAGGGUUGAUAUCAUUUGACAUUUCACCUAUAGCUAAACAAACAUGUUAUAUGUCAUUUCAUUUACAAUUUUGAUUUAGUUUUUUUAUACUUGUUAAUAAAUUGAGAUAAUUGUCUUACUA